rnacentral:rRNA from 1 species
CCUACGGGUGGCAGCAGUGAGGAAUAUUGGUCAAUGGACGCAAGUCUGAACCAGCCAUGCCGCGUGCAGGAAGACGGCUCUAUGAGUUGUAAACUGCUUUUGUACGAGGGUAAACGCAGAUACGCGUAUCUGUCUGAAAGUAUCGUACGAAUAAGGGUCGGCGAACUCCGCGCCAGCAGCCGCGGUAAUACGGAGGAUUCAAGCGUUAUCCGGAUUUAUUGGGUUUAAAGGGUGCGUAGGCGGUCGGAUAAGUUAGAGGUGAAAUCCCGAGGCUCAACUUCGGAAUUGCCUGUGAUACUGUUCGGCGAGAGAGUAGUUGCGGUAGGCGGAAUGUAUGGUGUAGCGGUGAAAUGCGUAGAGAUCAGACAGAACACCGAUUGCGAAGGCAGCUUACCAAGAUACUUCUGACGUUGAGGUACGAAAGCGUGGGGAGCAAACAGGAUUAGAUACCCUGGUAGUC